UACGGAGGGUGCGAGCGUUGUCCGGAUUUAUUGGGUUUAAAGGGUGCGUAGGCUGGAAGGUCAGUCAGCGGUGAAAAGCUGUCGCUCAACGAUAGUCUUGCCGCAGAUACUUCCUUUCUUGGAUGGGGAGAAGGUUACCGGAACGGAUGGUGUAGCGGUGAAAUGCAUAGAUAUCAUCCAGAACGCCAAUUGCGAAGGCAGGUGACUGUACCUUUAUCGACGCUGAUGCACGAAAGCAUGGGUAGCGAAC
rnacentral:rRNA from 1 species